rnacentral:rRNA from 1 species
UGACGGUACCUGACUAAGAAGCACCGGCUAAAUACGUGCCAGCAGCCGCGGUAAUACGUAUGGUGCAAGCGUUAUCCGGAUUUACUGGGUGUAAAGGGAGCGUAGACGGCAAUGCAAGUCUGAUGUGAAAUCUCCGGGCUCAACCCGGAAACUGGGAAACUUGAGUACAGAAGAGGGCAGUGGAACUCCAUGUGUAGCGGUGGAAUGCGUAGAUAUAUGGAAGAACACCAGUGGCGAAGGCGGCUGCCUGGUCUGUAACUGACGCUGAGACUCGAAAGCAUGGGUAGCGAACAGGAUUAGAUACCCUG